AUGGCAACUUGCUUGUCUGACUUUAUUAGAGAUUAUUACUUAGACUUUAUUGGUAUCCAGGAAACAACGAAGAAGGAUUUUCCCUCUAAUUUCUUGAGGAAAAUUGAUACAGGAGAAUGUUUUUGUUGGAAUUGGAUUCCUCCAGUGGGCAAGUCUGGGGGAAUUUUGUGUGGUUCUAAAAAGGAUAUUUUUUAUAUUAGAUCCUGCAAGGUAGGAAAAUAUAUUAUGAAACUUGAGUUGUGGGAUAAAAGUAAAAAAUUGAACUAUUGUAUUCUUGUAGUCUAUGGAUCUGCACAUGAGGAUCAUAAAGUGGAGUUUUUGACUGAGCUCUCUAACAUGUGUAACAAUAUUACAUGCCCUUAUAUUGUGGGAGGUGAUUUCAAUAUACUUAGAUAUGCUAGUGAGAAAACAAGAAAACUAGGACAAGUCACUCUUCUCAUCUCUUUAACUCCAUCAUUAAUGCUUUUUGUCUAA
rnacentral:rRNA from 1 species